CAAUAGCGUAUAUUAAAGUUGUUGCAGUUAAAAAGCUCGUAGUUGAAUUUCUUAUUAGUUAGCUGUUGGCUUCCAAGUCACUGUUAGCUAGUAAUCCGACACUGAACUAUGACGGUUAUUAAGUUAACCCCAUAGCGAAUUGUCAUUUUACUUUGAAAAAAUUAGAGUGUUUCAGGCAGGCAAUUGCCCGAAUAUCUUAGCAUGGAAUAAUGGAAUAGGACUUUGGUUCAUUUGAUUGGUUAUUGAAUCAGAGUAAUGAUUAAUAGGGACAGUUGGGGGCAUUAGUAUUUAAUUGUCAGAGGUGAAAUUCUUGGAUUUAUUAAAGACUAACUUAUGCGAAAGCAUUUGCCAAGGAUGUUUUCAUUAA
rnacentral:rRNA from 1 species